ACCCAGUUGACGAGUCUCAAAAGGGACGAAACACGCGUCUUGGAU
rfam:Schistosoma mattheei strain Denwood, Zambia genome assembly, scaffold: SMTD_scaffold0000236